rnacentral:rRNA from 1 species
UACGUAGGGUGCAAGCGUUAAUCGGAAUUACUGGGCGUAAAGCGUGCGCAGGCGGUUCGGCAAGAAGGAUGUGAAAUCCCAGGGCUUAACCUUGGAACUGCAUUCUUAACUGCCGGGCUAGAGUAUGUCAGAGGGGGGUAGAAUUCCGCGUGUAGCAGUGAAAUGCGUAGAGAUGCGGAGGAAUACCGAUGGCGAAGGCAGCCCCCUGGGAUAAUACUGACGCUCAUGCACGAAAGCGUGGGGAGCAAACAGGAUUAGAUACC